UACGAGGGGGGCGAGCGUUGUUCGGAAUUAUUGGGCGUAAAGGGCGCGUAGGCGGUGCGGUAAGUCACCUGUGAAACCCCCGGGCUCAACUCGGGGCCUGCAGGCGAAACUGCCGUGCUGGAGUGCGGAAGAGGUGAGUGGAAUUCCCGGUGUAGCGGUGAAAUGCGUGAGAUAGUGCGGAGGAACACCGAUGGCGAAGG
rnacentral:rRNA from 1 species